GACCCGGUGGCGAAUCGUUUUGCGCCCGUUUUGUAUGCUUGAGGUCGCAAGUGUUUGCACGUGUGAGGUCCUGGUUCGAGUCCAGGCUGGGUCG